rnacentral:tRNA from 1 species
UUAUAUAUAGUGUAAAUAACACACUAACUUUUCAAGUUAGAAAUAUAUUUUAUAUUAUAUCAG